AGUAGAGAUGAGGUUUCACCAUGUUGGUCAGGCUGGUCUCAAACUCCUGACCUCAGGUGAUCCAACCACC
rnacentral:miRNA from 10 species